AUUGAACGCUGGCGGCAUGCUUUACACAUGCAAGUCGAACGGUAACAGGGAGCUUGCUCCGCUGACGAGUGGCGAACGGGUGAGUAAUGCAUCGGAACGUACCCAGUCGUGGGGGAUAACGUAGCGAAAGUUACGCUAAUACCGCAUACGUCCUGAGGGAGAAAGCGGGGGACCGUAAGGCCUCGCGCGAUUGGAGCGGCCGAUGUCGGAUUAGCUAGUUGGUAGGGUAAAGGCCUACCAAGGCGACGAUCCGUAGCGGGUCUGAGAGGAUGAUCCGCCACACUGGGACUGAGACACGGCCCAGACUCCUACGGGAGGCAGCAGUGGGGAAUUUUGGACAAUGGGCGCAAGCCUGAUCCAGCAAUGCCGCGUGCAGGAUGAAGGCCUCGGUUGUAACUGCUUUGUACGGAACGAAAGGACUCUGGUUAAUACCUGGGCGUCAUGACGGUACCGUAAGAAUAAAGCACCGGCUAACUACGUGCCAGCAGCCGCGGUAAU
rnacentral:rRNA from 1 species